UGCAGUCGAGCGGACAGAUGGGAGCUUGCUCCCUGAUGUUAGCGGCGGACGGGUGAGUAACACGUGGGUAACCUGCCUGUAAGACUGGGAUAACUCCGGGAAACCGGGGCUAAUACCGGAUGGUUGUUUGAACCGCAUGGUUCAAACAUAAAAGGUGGCUUCGGCUACCACUUACAGAUGGACCCGCGGCGCAUUAGCUAGUUGGUGAGGUAACGGCUCACCAAGGCAACGAUGCGUAGCCGACCUGAGAGGGUGAUCGGCCACACUGGGACUGAGACACGGCCCAGACUCCUACGGGAGGCAGCAGUAGGGAAUCUUCCGCAAUGGACGAAAGUCUGACGGAGCAACGCCGCGUGAGUGAUGAAGGUUUUCGGAUCGUAAAGCUCUGUUGUUAGGGAAGAACAAGUACCGUUCGAAUAGGGCGGUACCUUGACGGUACCUAACCAGAAAGCCACGGCUAACUACGUGCCAGCAGCCGCGGUAAUACGUAGGUGGCAAGCGUUGUCCGGAAUUAUUGGGCGUAAAGGGCUCGCAGGCGGUUUCUUAAGUCUGAUGUGAAAGCCCCCGGCUCAACCGGGGAGGGUCAUUGGAAACUGGGGAACUUGAGUGCAGAAGAGGAGAGUGGAAUUCCACGUGUAGCGGUGAAAUGCGUAGAGAUGUGGAGGAACACCAGUGGCGAAGGCGACUCUCUGGUCUGUAACUGACGCUGAGGAGCGAAAGCGUGGGGAGCGAACAGGAUUAGAUACCCUGGUAGUCCACGCCGUAAACGAUGAGUGCUAAGUGUUAGGGGGUUUCCGCCCCUUAGUGCUGCAGCUAACGCAUUAAGCACUCCGCCUGGGGAGUACGGUCGCAAGACUGAAACUCAAAGGAAUUGACGGGGGCCCGCACAAGCGGUGGAGCAUGUGGUUUAAUUCGAAGCAACGCGAAGAACCUUACCAGGUCUUGACAUCCUCUGACAAUCCUAGAGAUAGGACGUCCCCUUCGGGGGCAGAGUGACAGGUGGUGCAUGGUUGUCGUCAGCUCGUGUCGUGAGAUGUUGGGUUAAGUCCCGCAACGAGCGCAACCCUUGAUCUUAGUUGCCAGCAUUCAGUUGGGCACUCUAAGGUGACUGCCGGUGACAAACCGGAGGAAGGUGGGGAUGACGUCAAAUCAUCAUGCCCCUUAUGACCUGGGCUACACACGUGCUACAAUGGACAGAACAAAGGGCAGCGAAACCGCGAGGUUAAGCCAAUCCCACAAAUCUGUUCUCAGUUCGGAUCGCAGUCUGCAACUCGACUGCGUGAAGCUGGAAUCGCUAGUAAUCGCGGAUCAGC
rnacentral:rRNA from 1 species